GCGCGGGUGGUGGAAUUGGCAGACACGCCAGCUUGAGGUGCUGGUGGCCACAAAACGGCCUUGCAGGUUCAAAUCCUGUCCCGCGCACCA
rnacentral:tRNA from 1 species